UACGAAGGGAGCUAGCGUUGUUCGGAAUCACUGGGCGUAAAGCGCACGUUAGGCGGAUUUGCCAGUCAGGGGGUGAAAAUCCCGGGGCUCAACCUCGGAACUGCCUUUGAUACAGCAAGUCUUGAGUUCGAGAGAGGUGGGUGGAAUUCCUAGUGUAGAGGUGAAAUUCGUAGAUAUUAGGAAGAACACCGGUGGCGAAGGCGGCCCACUGGCUCGACACUGACGCUGAGGUGGCGAAAGCGUGGGGAGCAAACAGG
rnacentral:rRNA from 1 species